UCCGUCCGGGUCCGUGGUUGCGUCACCCGGACCCCUGUGCGCCCGUCCGCGGCCGCGCAGGACACCGGGUGGCAAGCCGAUGCCAGUCGCAGGCGAAACGGCCCACGUAAGGCUGGAGACAGCCGAUCACGGUGCGGCUUAGACGUAAGUCCUGCCUCGCAGCCGUCGUCAGACACGACGGUGGUCGGGAGAGGGCCGGUAGUGACAUCCAAGUUGCAGAAGCCCCAGCAGGCGACUGUGGGGACGAAGACCAGGUCGGCCGGGCGGA
rnacentral:ncRNA from 1 species